CGGUAAUUCCAGCUCCAAUAGCGUAUACUAAAGUUGUUGCAGUUAAAAAGCUCGUAGUUGGAUUUCUGCGGGGACGGAGCGGCCGGACGCAACUUGCGUCUCGAGCUAGCGCUUUCCCCGCAUCCUGCCGCGAACCGUGCUACCAUUAGCUUGGUGGCGCUGGGGAUCGGCUCGAUUACUUUGAGAAAAAUAGAGUGUUCAAAGCAGGCCACACGCCUUGAAUAAGUUAGCAUGGAAUAAUGACUAAGGACUUUGGUUCUUUUCGUUGGUGUUCGGGACUGAAGUAAUGAUUGAUAGGGGCAGUUGGGGCGGUCUGUAUUCCAAAGCGAGAGGUGAAAUUCCUAGACCUUCGGAAGACAAACAGCUGCGAAAGCGUUCCGCAAGGAUGUUCCCUUUGAUCAAGAACGAAAGUUGGGGGAUCGAAGACGAUCAGAUACCGUCGUAGUCUCAACUAUAAACUAUACCAGCUAGGGAUCGGCCAACGUUUAAUUAUUCGACUUGGUCGGCACCUUAUGAGAAAUCAAAGCAUCUGGGUUCCGGGGGGAGUAUGGUCGCAAGGCUGAAACUUAAAGGAAUUGACGGAAGGGCACCACCAGGCGUGGAGCCUGUGGCUUAAUUUGACUCAACACGGGAAAACUUACCAGGUCCAGACAUAGGAAGGAUUGACAGAUUGAUAGCUCUUUCUUGAUUCUGUGGGUGGUGGUGCAUGGCCGUUUUUAGUCGGUGAAGUGAUUUGUCUGCUUAAUUGCGUUAACGGACGAGACCCCAGCCUGCUAAAUAGCGCGGCCGAGCUUUGCUCGGUGCGAGCUUCUUAGAGGGACCAUGAUGCGCGAUAGCACAAGGAAGUUUGGGGCAACAACAGGUCUGUGAUGCCCUUAGAUGUUCUGGGCCGCACACGGGCUACACUGGCGCCUGCAACGAGCAUAUCAGCUGGCCCGAGAGGGUCUUGGCUAAUCUUUGGAACCGGCGCCGUGCUUGGGAUUGGCCAUUGCAAUUGUUGGUCAUGCAACGAGGAAUGCCUUGUAAACGCGAGUCAUCAGCUCGCAUUGAAUACGUCCCUGCCCUUUGUACACACCGCCCGUCGCUCCUACCGAUGAAUGUUCCGAUGAAAUUUUCGGAGAGCGCCAGAGAACGGGGCUCUGCCUUGCAGAUCUGGAGGCUCAAAGUCACUUAAAUCUGAACAUUUCGAGGAAGGAGAAGUCGUAACAAGGUAACC
rnacentral:rRNA from 1 species